rnacentral:rRNA from 1 species
CCCAGACUCCUACGGGAGGCAGCAGUAGGGAAUCUUCCACAAUGGGCGAAAGCCUGAUGCAGCGACGCCGCGUGAGUGAAGAAGUAAUUCGUUAUGUAAAGCUCUAUCAGCAGGGAAGAAAAUGACGGUACCUGAGUAAGAAGCCCCGGCUAACUACGUGCCAGCAGCCGCGGUAAUACGUAGGGGGCAAGCGUUAUCCGGAUUUACUGGGUGUAAAGGGAGCGUAGACGGCAGUGCAAGUCUGGAGUGAAAGCCCGGGGCUCAACCCUGGGACUGCUCUGGAAACUGUAAAGCUGGAGUGCGGGAGGGGCAGGCGGAAUUCCUGGUGUAGCGGUGAAAUGCGUAGAUAUCAGGAGGAACACCGGCGGCGAAGGCGGCCUGCUGGACCGUAACUGACGUUGAGGCUCGAAAGCGUGGGGAGCAAACAGGAUUAGAUACCCGAGUA